rnacentral:lncRNA from 1 species
UGGUGUUCCUAGCACAGUCAGCUCAUUGUCGAACAUUAACACACAGGUAUAUAUCCCGAUAUCUGGAUGGUCCGGAGCUUACCCCAAUGGAGAUUACAUAAACUCUUCGUCAACCUUCAUUAGUAUUCGU